UAGUCUUUUGCCGUAUAGUCUUUUGCCGGUGCCUCCAACUCCUUCUCCACAUAGGUGCCUCCAAAAUUCCUUCUCCACAACUCUAGUCUUCUUUGUUCGUGGGUUUAGGGUGCAGCAGGUGCCUCCAAUUCCUUCUCCACGACUCUAGUCUCCUUUGUUCGUGGGUUUAGGGUGCAGCAGAUUGGCCUUCAUCUCUGUUCAGAUUUUCUCCUCUCCCAACACAAAGUUGCAGACCCAUAAUUCCUCGCAAACCAAUCUCUCUUCCUCUCACUUUAAAGCUUCUUCUUUUCUGCUUCAGGUUUGUUCUCUUCCCGAAUAUUCUCAGAUUCGUUUUCCGUUUCUGUCUUCAGGUUCGUUCUCUCUCUCUCUCUCUCUCUCUCAAUUUUUCAUUGAUUUAAAGUUUUGUUUCAUUCAAGCUUUGAUUUAAUUUUCGAUUAAACCUCUGGGUUGUUGUUGUUCAUGUUUCUGGCCCCGUUUUGUUUUCCUAUGUUUCUUCAAUGUCUAGAAGUUUAUGGUUUUCUGAAUUAGACGGUGGGUUCCCAGGUUAACUAAUCACUAGAGGAUCAAUGUAUAGUUUCAUUUAUGCAAGAUCUGCUGGAGUAGCGUGAUAACAGAGCACAGCCAAGGCAUUUUGAACUCUUUGUACUCAUUUCACUGGAGCUUGACUAGAGAUUGGGAGUUGAGUGUUUGUUUGUAAAUGUCAGGGGAUCCAAAAUGAAUAGAGAGUGGAUUCAUUCUAAAAACAAACUCUGCCAAGAAUACAAGGAAGGUAUUCAGUCUUUCAUUGAUGUUGCAAAACAUCAUUUGAAUGCAAAUAAUGAGACAUUAUGUCCUUGUGAUACCGAAACAAGUUAUGUUGAUGGGGUAGACCAAGAAGAAGAGGCUAGCAAUAUCACUCAUCCCAUUGAAGAGAAUGUUAAUUCAAUGCCAACACUUUGUAGAAGAGAUGUCGAACCUGAAAUUGUUGGUUUGAGUAGCAAAGAUAUUGAACAAAGCAACAUAAGUGACGAUGAUUUUAUCGAUGAUAAUCCUCUAGAUGAGGAAUUACUAUCAGGAGAUGAAGAUAACUACCUCUAGCAAAAACAGAAUGAUUGGCCUUUGGAUUUUGAUUCACCUCAAGCCUUCUUUCUUCUGGAUUUGCAGUAUUCAUGGGGCUGGAAUGGACCCUAGUCCAUCAAACAGUGUCGAGAGGUGUAGGAGGAAGUGCCUAUUAGAGCAAGCAUUCUUUUCUGAAGUAAAGCUAGAGAGAAGGAUGAGGCUGGGAGGUCUAUGUUUUAGCAAGGAUUGAUUGUAGGCAGAGCAGUGAAUGUUGGGCAUAUUUGUUCGUUUGUUCCAAUGCCUUUGACAAUACAAGGAUACUGGAGAGAAUAUAAGCCUUCUGAAUGCUUUAAAUUAUCCGAUUGCAGUACCUGUGAUUUUUCUCUCAGCCCUUAAAUAUCAAGUCUUCCCAGAGAAGUGGACAAACUUCUAUUAGCCCUUUUGGCUUCUCUUAGCCAUUUUGAACUCUUUGUACUCAUUUUACUGGGAUGUGACUAGAGAUUGGGACUUGAGGUUUGAAGAUGGUAUUGAAAAAUAGAGGAACUGGAAGCCAAGUUUGCAACAUAUGAAAAAGCAAUAUAUGUUCCCCAUGUGAUAUGGAUGCUGAAGAUGAAGAAAAUGAAGAGGAUUUUGGCAUUAAGCGUAUUAGGUUUUCAUAAGUUACUAUUCAUUAGGACGUUGUCUAUCUUAUAUUUACACAUGGAUGCCCUUAAGUAGUUGCAGAUUUUAUCUCUAGUUGAAGACUAAUGAAGCAAA